GAUAUCUAGAGAAGAUUUCUUUAGCUCUCUGUCUGUAAGACUCAUCCAAUCUGUUCACUCUUGUAACAUGGUAAGAGACAUGGAUGAUGGAAGGGAUCUCCUAAGAACUGAGAGUUAAGCCCAUACUUAACAUCUAGGAGCAUGUGUUUAUAUGUAUUACAUUUAUGCUGGAGGACAUGUUGGUCAGAAGAAGAUCAAAAGGUACCAUCAGAUUCUUUGGAACUGUACUCCCAAGCAAUUAUGAGUUGACACAUGGAUGCUGAGAAUCAAAUUCAUUUUCUGAUACCAGUAAGCAUUUUUAUCUGUUGAGUCAUCUCUCCAGCUCCCAAAUCUCUUUUGCAUUAACCACAUCCUGGUUACAAUAUAUCAUUCUUCACCAAAUACCUAAAUGUUUCCUGAACAUUUUGGAGGCUAGAUGCUUCAAGAUGAUUAGUGCCUCAAGUCAGCAAAAAUGAAGACCCAAACAAAUGGUACUUCUGAUAAAGGAAAGUCAUUUUGUUGUUACUUUCCCUGAUAAUUGCAUGUAAUAGUACUU